rnacentral:rRNA from 1 species
GACGAACGCUGGCGGCGUGCUUAACACAUGCAAGUCGAACGGAAAGGCCCUGCUUUUGUGGGGUGCUCGAGUGGCGAACGGGUGAGUAACACGUGAGUAACCUGCCCUUGACUUUGGGAUAACUUCAGGAAACUGGGGCUAAUACCGGAUAGGAGCUCCUGCUGCAUGGUGGGGGUUGGAAAGUUUCGGCGGUUGGGGAUGGACUCGCGGCUUAUCAGCUUGUUGGUGGGGUAGUGGCUUACCAAGGCUUUGACGGGUAGCCGGCCUGAGAGGGUGACCAGCCACAAUGGGACUGCGAUACGGCCCAGACUCCUACGGGAGGCAGCAGUGGGGAAUAUUGCACAAUGGGCGGAAGCCUGAUGCAGCAACGCCGCGUGCGGGAUGACGGCCUUCGGGUUGUAAACCGCUUUCGCCUGUGACGAAGAGUGAGUGACGGUAAUGGGUAAAGAAGCCCCGGCUAACUACGUG